CAAUAGCGUAUAUUAAAGUUGUUGCGGUUAAAAAGCUCGUAGUUGGAUUUCUGUUGGGAACGACCGGUCCGCCCAUUGGGUGUGUAUCUGGCUUGUUCUCGGCAUCUUCUUGGUGAACGUUGCUGCACUUGACUGUGUGGAGCGCUACCCAGGACUUUUACUUUGAGGAAAUUAGAGUGUUUCAAGCAGGCAUAUGCCUUGAAUACAUCAGCAUGGAAUAAUAAGAUAGGACCUCGGUUCUAUUUUGUUGGUUUCUAGAGCUGAGGUAAUGAUUAAUAGGGAUAGUUGGGGGCAUUCGUAUUUAACCGUCAGAGGUGAAAUUCUUGGAUUUGUUAAAGACGGACUACUGCGAAAGCAUUUGCCAAGGAUGUUUUCAUUGA
rnacentral:rRNA from 1 species